rnacentral:misc_RNA from 1 species
GUUCAUGUCAACAAACAGGUGGCAUACCUAGUUAUUGGUUUCAGUUAGAAGAAUCAACCUUCAUAAUCAAUAAAAUAGCUAGAUGAAUCAUUUUCAGUGAUAACACAUGGAUGGCCUUCUAUUUUCCUUUUUAAUUUGCCUAACUGAUGUUGUAGUUUGACAAGGUUUGAACCUGGACAUUCAAUUGUGCAAGGAAAACAUUGAUGAUUGUGAAAUAAUUUCCCAGAAAAUUUUCACAGAUCAAAGUCCGCUCUGAUCCAAAUUAAAAAAAAUAAAAGUUUCUUUGAG